UCGAAAAUAAAGACAAGAAAAUACUAAAUUUUUGAAACAAGAAACAAUGAAUUAAUCAUUUUUGGUUGUCUUUUACCCUAAAUUGUAAGUUUCUUACAUUAAUAUUUGACUGAUUUUCAAUAGGCCAUGUGUCAGAAAUGUCAUCAUCAAUAAAAUGUUUUCUUUUCUAUUUCGAAUUAUUUUUAACAGCCUUAUUUAUUGUAAUUCCGACUUCUUUUCUUCUAGAUAAGGACACAACCGCCUACGUGAUCUUCUCCUCCGAUCCAACUUUGAGCACAACAAAACACCAAGGACAUUAUAAUUGUUUUUCAAAAUACAGACACAAUAAACCAAUCUAUAUACUUCAAAAACAAUAAUCAAUGCAACACAAUCAUAUCUUAUCUAAUUUACACCAUUAACAAAUAAUAUUAUCAACAACAACAAAACCUAUCGUUAACAAAAAAAAAACAAUAAUUUAUAAUUGGAGCUCAACAGCAGGUACAAAGUGUAGUCUAAAAUAUAUAGCAGACUUAAGCUUGGCAGAGCUUCAAUUCGAAAGCUAUCGCUCAACCGCUCUUCAACGACCGACGACGUGAACGUCGCUUCGUGCUGCAUCACACACUUAUUUACCUAGCCAUAAAAAAGAUAGAUAGGUAUAUUUAUUUUUUAAUAUAAAUAUACAGAAAAAAUAAAUAAAACACAGAUAAAAAAAAAGUGUGCGCUUUUGCCAUAUAAUAUAACGAAACAGAUAUGUGUGUUAAAGUGCGGGAUCGUAAGAAAUAUAAAUCCGCCACUUGGUUUUUGGGUGCGACCGGCAAUGGUUCAUCGCGCGUAAAACAAUAUUCUGUUUCUCAGUCUAUCGGUGUCUCAUUUUGUUAUCAACGGAAAUGAAAUGAAAAUUAAAUCUCAACCUGUCUUUCGAAUUACAAAAAUAUAAAAAUGGUGAAUUAUCAAAUGAUCGCUAAUGAAAGUUAAAAACUUAAAAAACACAAAAAAUUGUUGACGCGAUUCCAAAAACUGAUUUGGACCAUCAUCAUCGCAUCAAACUACUUCUGAGAUAACCGGAUUUUUGAAGAACCGGCUUUUGCAUUGCUAAAUAAGUUUUAGUUUUUUCUUUUUAAUUCAUUUUUUUGAACGUGUUAGUUUUUUGGGUAAUAACAUAUACAAUCAAACCUGGUUGUAUUAAAUUUUGUAUUUUAUCGUAUUCCACAUAUGAGUGGAAUUUAAUUUAAAACAAAAAAAACAUCUUAUUUACUCAGACACAGAGCUGUUCAAAAUCAAAACAAACAAAAAUGCUCGAAGCUGCUUGUUUAAUGUUGAUCUGUCCUUGGUUGGCUUUUAUCUUUAUUGUGAUUUUCGCUAUGGCGGUUUUGUGAAAAUAAAAAAAUAAUAUAAAAAUUUGAAAUCCGGCGGAUAGUUUGGAUAAUAAUAAUUAAUUUUAGUAUAAGAUAUGUGAUGGUUGAUCAGAUCACAUUUAGUUGUAUGUAGGCUGUGAUGAGACUUAUUUUUAGUAGUUUAUGUUUUCAUAGAUUUAAGAUGAGAAAAAAAUGAAAGCAUGUACAAAUUGUCAUAAUGGUUGUGUAAUAAAAUAAGUUUUUUUUAAAAAGA